rnacentral:rRNA from 1 species
GAUGAACGCUGGCGGCGUGCCUAAUACAUGCAAGUCGAGCGAACAGACGAGGAGCUUGCUCCUCUGACGUUAGCGGCGGACGGGUGAGUAACACGUGGAUAACCUACCUAUAAGACUGGGAUAACUUCGGGAAACCGGAGCUCAUACCGGAUAAUAUAUUGAACCGCAUGGUUCAAUAGUGAAAGACGGUUUUGCUGUCACUUAUAGAUGGAUCCGCGCCGCAUUAGCUAGUUGGUAAGGUAACGGCUUACCAAGGCAACGAUGCGUAGCCGACCUGAGAGGAUGAUCGGCCACACUGGAACUGAGACACGGUCCAGACUCCUACGGGAGGCAGCAGUAGGGAAUCUUCCGCAAUGGGCGAAAGCCUGACGGAGCAACGCCGCGUGAGUGAUGAAGGUCUUCGGAUCGUAAAACUCUGUUAUUAGGGAAGAACAAAUGUGUAAGUAACUAUGCACGUCUUGACGGUACCUAAUCAGAAAGCCACGGCUAACUACGUG